AAUAGAUACCCAGGUAGUCCACGCCGUAAACGAUGGAUGCUAGCUAUUGGGGGGAAUCGACCCCCUCCGAAGCGAAGCUAACGCGUUAAGCAUCCCGCCUGAGUAGUACGAGCGCAAGCUUAAAACUCAAAGGAAUUGACGGGGACCCGCACAAGCGGUGGAGCGUGUGGUUUAAUUCGAUGGUAAACGAAGAACCUUACCAAGGUUUGACAUCCCGGUAGCCGUUCUCCGAAAGGAGAAUUUCAUUUAGUUGGACCGGUGACAGGUGAUGCAUGGCCGUCGUCAGCUCGUGUCGUGAGAUGUUGGGUUAAGUCCCGCAACGAGCGCAACCCUUAUGAUUUAGUUGGAUUUUUCUAAACAGACUGCCCUGGUAACAGGGAGGAAGGAGGGGAUGAUGUCAGGUCAGUAUUUCCCUUACACCUUGGGGCGACACACGCGCUACAAUGGCCGGUACAAUGGGCAGCUAAGCCGCGAGGUGGAGCAAAUCCCAUCAAAGCCGGUCCCAGUUCGGAUUGCAGGCUGAAACCCGCUGCGUGAAGUUGGAAUCGCUAGU
rnacentral:rRNA from 1 species